AUUGAACGCUGGCGGCAUGCCUUACACAUGCAAGUCGAACGGCAGCACGGGAGCAAUCCUGGUGGCGAGUGGCGAACGGGUGAGUAAUAUAUCGGAACGUGCCCAGUAGUGGGGGAUAACUGCUCGGAAGAGCAGCUAAUACCGCAUACGACCUGAGGGUGAAAGCGGGGGAUCGCAAGACCUCGCGCAAUUGGAGCGGCCGAUAUCAGAUUAGGUAGUUGGGGGGGUAAAGGCCCACCAAGCCAACGAUCUGUAGCUGGUCUGAGAGGACGACCAGCCACACUGGGACUGAGACACGGCCCAGACUCCUACGGGAGGCAGCAGUGGGGAAUUUUGGACAAUGGACGCAAGUCUGAUCCAGCCAUGCCGCGUGCGGGAAGAAGGCCUUCGGGUUGUAAACCGCUUUUGUCAGGGAAGAAAAGGGCGACUCUAAUACAGUUGCCUCAUGACGGUACCUGAAGAAUAAGCACCGGCUAACUACGUGCCAGCAGCCGCGGUAACAC
rnacentral:rRNA from 1 species